rnacentral:rRNA from 1 species
UCCCCCACAUGGAACUGAGACACGGUCCAAACUCCUACGGGAGGCAGCAGUGAGGAAUAUUGGUCAAUGGACGGAAGUCUGAACCAGCCAAGUAGCGUGCAGGAUGACGGCCCUAUGGGUUGUAAACUGCUUUUGUAUGGGGAUAAAGUUAGGGACAUGUCCCUAUUUGCAGGUACCAUACGAAUAAGGACCGGCUAAUUCCGUGCCAGCAGCCGCGGUAAUACGGAAGGUCCAGGCGUUAUCCGGAUUUAUUGGGUUUAAAGGGAGCGUAGGCUGGAGAUUAAGUGUGUUGUGAAAUGUAGACGCUCAACGUCUGAAUUGCAGCGCAUACUGGUUUCCUUGAGUACGCACAACGUUGGCGGAAUUCGUCGUGUAGCGGUGAAAUGCUUAGAUAUGACGAAGAACUCCGAUUGCGAAGGCAGCUGACGGGAGCGCAACUGACGCUUAAGCUCGAAGGUGCGGGUAUCAAACAGGAUUAGAUACCCUGGUAGUCCGCACAGUAAACGAUGGAUGCCCGCUGUUGGUACCUGGUAUCAGCGGCUAAGCGAAAGCAUUAAGCAUCCCACCUGGGGAGUACGCCGGCAACGGUGAAACUCAAAGGAAUUGACGGC